GAAGGGGUUGAGGAAGAAGGGUUUGAAGAUGCUACUGAAGAGUUCCUAGAUGUUGUUCCUGCUGAUUCUGUAGUCCAUGAUGAUGUAUUUACUCUUUCCAAUAUGGUUGAUUCUGAUGUAAUUGAACUUGAUUCCGAUGUUUCGGAUGUUUAUGCUCCAACAAAUGAGGUUUCUGAGUACGACGGUGACAUUGCUACUAUAACUAUUUUCUAUCCAACUAAU
rnacentral:lncRNA from 1 species